AACGAACGCUGGCGGCAGGCCUAACACAUGCAAGUCGAACGCUCCGCAAGGGGAGUGGCGCACGGGUGAGUAACACGUGGGAACCUACCUUCUGGUACGGAACAACCAAGGGAAACUUUGGCUAAGACCGUAUACGACCUCCGGGUGAAAGAUUGAUCGCCGGAAGAGGGGCCCGCGUCCGAUUAGGUAGUUGGUGAGGUAACGGCUCACCAAGCCUUCGAUCGGUAGCCGGUCUGAGAGGAUGACCAGCCACACUGGGACUGAGACACGGCCCAGACUCCUACGGGAGGCAGCAGUGGGGAAUAUUGGACAAUGGGCGCAAGCCUGAUCCAGCCAUGCCGCGUGAGUGAUGAAGGCCU
rnacentral:rRNA from 1 species